AGAACGAGCGCUGGCGGCAUGCCUAACACAUGCAAGUCGAACGAAGCCUUCGGGCUUAGUGGCGCACGGGUGCGUAACACGUGGGAAUCUGCCCUUAGGUACGGAAUAACUCAGGGAAACUUGAGCUAAUACCGUAUGAUGUCUUCGGACCAAAGAUUUAUCGCCUAAGGAUGAGCCCGCGUCGGAUUAGCUAGUUGGUGGGGUAAAGCCUACAAGGCGACGAUCCGUAGCUGGUCUGAGAGGAUGAUCAGCCACACUGGGACUGAGACACGGCCCAGACUCCGUAGGGAGCAGCGAGGUGGGAAUAGUUGGACAAGUGGGACGAAACGCCUAGAC
rnacentral:rRNA from 1 species